ACCUGAGACAGAAGGGACCACUUCCGGGAUUCCGAUGUCUCGCUAGGAAGCUAACGUGUUAGCGGCUAGUUCAAGGAGGACCGAAACUAAACACACCCCGACAGAAAGCAGCGACUACAUCCAAAAUAUCUGGCAUGUCAUGCGGUGUUUCGCCGGUUCCUUUUUUAUUCGUCACGUCUCAAAUGGAUAUACAAGUCGCCAAGUUUGAUGAAUGACGGGUCAGAGGAGAUAAAAGUUCCACGAUAUCCAGGGCCAUGAGAUAGUCUGUUGACUCAAAACAACAGAUAAAACAAUACCAAGCCGACGACUAAAGGCGGAGCAAAAGCUGGAUGGAUGUGGAUGUUUGACUUUCCGACCAUGUUGUAGCACAAGAUUUAUUCUUCCAAAUCGUAUGAUGGGAAAGGAGGCUUCUCUGCAGAGAGUUUGGAGAUGGGAUGGGUCCCGGCACCUAGACCCGGCCGUCUACAGUGAUUCCCCGGCCACGCUCCUGCCAGCGCUGUUCGGACUGAGUUGACUCCAGUCGCGCAUUGACACGCGAUCCCAAGGUCCACCAGAGACCAGCCCUCUGAAGAGAAUUGUAUUUUUGAAUGCAACGAGGGUUGAGCAGACAUUUUUAUAAUUUUUUCGUUAUUAACAUUUCUGGUUGGUUUUGUUUUUAAAGAUAUAUAUUUUUUGUUUAACUUCUUUUCAUCCUCCGCUGUUAAAGUUGAGACCAGUGGGUCUUUGCCAUUGUAAGGUAUCCUCGCAGCCAUCCCCUCAGUGCCUAAACCCCCCCACGCCCCCGUACAUUCUGCACAAGCCCAGAAGUUAUCAUCUACUACACUGAGCUCCCUCGGCUUGAUUCAGUCUCCCUCCCUCAACUGGCUUCUGACCACGGCCUCCCUCUGCUUGCUUCUGCUUUAAGACUGGAGGCCGGCCAUGUGCUAACUUUUGCCAUUGAUUUCCAAAUGCUCUGCGUGAGGGACAAUCUGGACUCUGACUGAUGCAUAUUUAAGGGUGGAGUGCAUGCAAGGGCUGACGCUAUUGCGCCCCUUUAUUUUGGUUUCACAAGUGCCACAGUAAGAAUUGCGGCAGAAUAUUUUGAAUAUAGUUUGCACCAAAAAGGUCAUCAGUGGAAGCCAUAUAUAAUUAUUUAUGAAUGACCCACACAUCUUUUUUUGUUUAAUGGCAAUGCACAGAAAAUACACAUUAUAAAUGCAUAUGUGAUUCUUCGGAGGAAAGUGGACUGAUCAUUUCGGUGUGGAAAUAUUUUUCUAAAUACCGGUGAAGCCCUCACCGUGAGCACUCAGUUCGCUGCUUUGCACGACAGCCCCCGUGUGGACCUACUUUAGCUUCCGAUCUGCACCCAUGGCCGGUUCCGCCAUGGCCCCCUGGACACGGUCCUCGCGGUGACCCAUCGAGAAGAAGCCAUCACAGUAGAUAGGCGGUCGGCCUCCUCCCUGCUCGCCGCCUCCCCCCCAUUUAUCAGUUUGUGACCGGACCUCGGGAUGCCGGGCUUCAGCAGCGGGGGGGUCGGAGGAGGGGUCGGUGGGCCGGCCUCCACUCCGCCCCGCCCCUUCCGACCCAGCCGCUACGUCCCCGUGUCGGCGGCCGCCCUGUUCCUGGUGGGAUCCACCACGCUGUUCUUCUGUUUCACGUGCCCGUGGCUGUCGGACUACCUGUCCGCUGUGAUCCCCUUCUAUAUCGCCGUCGUCUUCCUCUUCACUCUGGCCAACUUCUGCAUGGCCACGUUCAUGGACCCUGGGGUCUUCCCCAGAGCGGAGGAAGACGAGGACAAGGAGGACGACUUCCGCGCGCCGCUCUACAAGACGGUGGAGAUCAGGGGCAUCCAGGUGCGCAUGAAGUGGUGCUCCACCUGCCGCUUCUACCGGCCCCCGCGCUGCUCCCACUGCUCCGUCUGUGACAACUGCGUGGAGGACUUUGACCACCACUGCCCCUGGGUGAACAACUGCAUCGGCCGCAGGAACUACCGCUACUUCUUCCUCUUCCUGCUGUCGUUGACCACCCACAUCGUCAACGUGUUCGGCUUCGGCCUGGUGUUCGUCCUGCACCACCGCGAGCAGCUGGACACCGCGCACGCCGCCGUCACUAUGGCUGUGAUGUGUGUGGCUGGGCUGUUCUUCGUACCAGUGGCUGGCCUCACUGGGUUUCAUAUGGUGCUGGUGGCCCGUGGGAGGACCACAAACGAACAGGUGACGGGGAAGUUCCGUGGAGGUGUGAACCCCUUCACCAACGGCUGCGUGAAGAACAUCUCCCACAUGCUGUGCAGCUCGCAGGCUCCCAGGUACGUGGGCCGGUUGCGGGGCCCCCAGAAGGCAGAAGUGCAGCCUCCCUUCCUGAGGCCGGCCCUCACCGAGGCCCAGCUGGAGGCCAAGGUUCUGGACAACGGCCUCCAGAACGACCGGCACAGUAACCGGUCCAAGAGCAGUCUGGAGCAGCUGGAGAGUCAGUCGGCGGACGUUGAGCCGCCGCCCCCUCCAAAGCCGGAGCUGCGGUACCCCGGCCUUCCCCGCGCCGACACUGAAGAGAGCAGCCUGCUGACUGUGGCUCCUCCCACUCCGUCGAUGUACAAGUACCGGCCGGCCUUCAACAGCCCUUCAAAGAACCACACUGCACAUGCACACCCCAACAAGAUGAUGAUGAUGAUGCGCGGCGAGAGUCUGGACACGCCCUCUCCCUCCAUCCUCCAGUCCAGCCGCCAGCCCGGCUACCGCUCUGAGCCCAGCAGCCUGGACGGCGCCGCGGCGCCGGGGAGGGGGGCGGGGCCACGCAGAGGAGGAGGAGGAGGAGGGGAAAGGGGCGAGGGCCCCGGAGGCCCUGUGGUGGGGGUGCACGUCGGGGGGGUGGCGGCGGGCGGCGUGUCGGGGUACUCCCUGGCGGGCCGCUCCUACACCUCGUACCCGUCGUCCCUGGUGCUGUCGGCCGGCGGCUCGUACGCCUCCAGCGUGCGCACGGCGCACACGCCGCACUCCGCCCUCCCCACGCUCCAAUCGGAGGGCACCACGGACACCAGCUACAAGAGCCUGGCCAAUCAGACGCCCCGCAACGGCAGCCUGUCCUACGACAGCCUGCCGACGCCCUCCGAGAGCCCGGAGUUCGAGUCCGCGGCCCACGAGCUGUCGCCGCCGAAGCCCCCCCCCCACUGCGGCUUCCACGCGGCGGCCGGCGCCGCGGUCUCGCCCCCCCCCAUGGGGGGGGCCGGGGGCCCGCUGCAGGGCUACACGUCGCCCUUCCUCUCCGCUCAGAUCGCCCAGCAGAGGGAGGGGCAGCUGUUCCAGGGCUCCGCCUCUUUCUCCUCCCCCCACAGGGCCUACCUGCGGGCCGUGAGCCCGACCCCUCCCUCCUCCGGGCCCCCUGAGACCCACCAACUCCUGCAGCACAGCAAGGACUCCGCCCCCUGGUCCCCCCGCGCCUCCCCCCCCAGCUUCUUCCCCUCGUCGCCCCCCUCCUCCUCCUCGCCCAGGGCCCGCUCGCUGGAGCCGCCGGUGUCCCCCCCGCCCCGCGGCCCAUCCCUCGGCAAGUCGCAGUCGUACGGGGCCGAGGCGGCGGGGGCGGGGCAGCCGAAGGGCCGGCCGGCGGGCCCCGGGGUGCCGGGAGGAGGCCCGAGGGCCCCGCAGUGAGUAGAGCUCCGCCGCCAGACUGGUCCGCCUGCUGCUCUUCCUCCUAAUCCUUCACCUCCUUUUCUUCCUUCUUGGUUUGUGUCCACCCUCUUCCUCCUCCCAGAUCUGUAUCCACCUCUCGCCCGGGCUCGUCCAAUCACGCAAUAUCCAAACCAGGGGGCGGGGUGAAGAAGGUCACGGGCGUCGGAGGAACCACCUAUGAGAUAUCGGUUUGAGCGAUAGACGUUCCUUCACCA